rnacentral:tRNA from 1 species
GCCUCAAUAGCUCAGUUGGUAGAGCGGCUGAUUCGUAAUCAGCAGGUCGGGAGUUCAAUCCUCUCUUGAGGCU